CCCUUAGAUGUUCUGGGCCGCACGCGCGCUACACUGAUGCAUUCAACGAGUCUAAAACCUGGUCUGAGAGGGCUGGGUAAUCUUUUGAAAGCGCAUCGUGAUUGGGAUAGAUGAUUGCAAUUCUUCAUCUUCAACGAGGAAUGCCUAGUAAACGCAAGUCAUCAGCUUGCAUUGAUUACGUCCCUGCCCUUUGUACACACCGCCCGUCGCUCCUACCGAUUGAACGAUCCGAUGAAAACUGUGGAUUGAGAGUCUGAGUGGGUUCGCCUACCUCAACUUUCGAGAAGCGGUUUAAAUCUUAUCGUUUAGAGGAAGGAGAAGUCGUAACA
rnacentral:rRNA from 1 species